AAUGCUAACUGACUCCCGGCAACAGUAUGGAUCUGAGGAAUAUGUGCACCAUGUUUAUGGCAUUAUAUAGAGGGAACAACAACAACCCUGACAUUACAUGGAAAAACAGCAUGGGCAUGGAGGAGACUGUGAGUAGUCUGCUACAGAACCAGGACAAAAUGGAGAGCCCCAGUGUGGAUCCACUCGACCUCAUGAAGGCCUAUAAGGACAAACUCCUGGAGGAGAUGUGGAAACAGCAGGACAGUCUGGAGGGCACACAACCUCUACCCACAGAAAGGACGCCCAGCUCUUCAGGAGUCGGCAGUAAUGGCCACAAGGAGGACUCUGACAAAACCCAGCCCAUUCUAGAGAGACUGCGGGCCCUUGAGGCGGAGAACUCUGCCCUGACGAUGGAGAAUGACAACCAAAGGAAGCAGUAUGAACGCUGCCUGGAUGAGGUGGCUAAUCAGGUGGUUCAAGCACUUCUCACUCAAAAGGACCUGAAGGAGGAGUGCGUGAAGCUGAGGACACGCGUGUUUGACUUGGAGCAACAGAACCGCAUACUGACAGUUCUGUUCCAGCAGCGGAUCAAAACAUCCACCAACCCCAUCUCCGAGGAGGUCCAGCGGAAUGGGAAGAUGGGUGUUUCUGCAGGGAGAUGGCCCAGUCUGCUGAGUCUGACCUGUCCACGCAGUAGCUGCAGUGGCAGCGAGGCUUCCUUAUCCAGUGCCUGUAGUGAGUACUCUAGUGGUUCGCAUACUUGGGCGGAAGGACGCGGCUACUCCAAGCAGUCUGCAAUAAGCCGUGAGAAGAGGAUGAGUGCCGGGUCAGUUUCCAGCCAUCACUCUGUCCCAGCGGACCAGCCAGAUCUCAGCUGGAAGCAGGGCCACAUUCUGAAGGGACUGAAGAGGCUCCAAAUGCGCAGUCCUGCUCCCAAGGAGACCUCUUCACUCGUCUCCACGUCACAUUUCAAGGACUGCAUGACCUCCAAUGAGGGCAUAUACUCUUUAGGGGCCAAGUGUAGGGCCCAAGGGGUGGUUCCUAAAUUGACAUUGGUUAAGGGAAAAACCUUUAAGCCAGGAGUUAGUACUUUAAUCUCGGACUCGGAUGAUGCAGAUGAUGAAUCCCCUCAAUCCUUAGCCAGGGAGUCCUGCGACCAACCCAUUGAGGAUAUUGUCCAUUUGGAAAGAGAGCCUGUGUCUGAAUUGAGAAUGGAAAAGGAGGUAAAGAGCCCCACUGACGCCAACUCCCAAGAAGAGCCUGUAAGACUUGUAAAGAGUUCCAGCAACUAUCUAUUACCUAUAAAAGAUGCCUUUGUGCUCGAGGGUCCUCCAUUGAGGCCUGAACACAGCCCAAUGGAGAGCACUAUUAAUCUGGGUGGACUUGAGAAAACAAACUGGUUAGAAAAAAACAAUCAGUCUGCCUUCAUGAAGUGGAACGUUAGGGACAGUUGCAAUUUGAGGUCAGAGACUGUUGAACAAACACAAGACAAAAUUACAGACAAAGAACCUGAAACAGCGGCUAGUGAAGUGACCCUACCCAUUCAGCAUGUUGCAGCCAGAGCUCUAAGUUGGGUUAGUGAGGCCAGACAUCGUAGUGUGUCCAUGGACAGGAAGCAUUACAGAGACCCAAAAAGCCAGGGCAGCUUUGAUACCAAGGACUACAACAUGUUGGAGUCUCGACAGAAGAAAGAAAAGCUUAAGGUCUGUGACUCAGCAAGGAAGGCCUUUAUCCUCCGAAGCAGGAGUGCUGACGGAAGCCAAGACCAGGCCAAGCUGCAUCAGCCCCUUCAUCAGAAGCUGCUAAAGGUCAAUAAAAGGUUUAAGAACCGUUCAAACUCACUAAGGCCAAGUUGCCCUGGGAGAAAAACACACCUCAAUAAGGCAUCUGGUCCAGCAAAUGGAUCAGUACAAAAGGAUGAAAAAGGUGAGAAUUCUACUGUUGCAACUUCAGGGUCUCCCGAGAGUAUAGUACUGGGCUCUUCCUCUUCUCCUCAGAAACUGGUCAAGGUAUUUAAGCCACAUGGGCUCAAUGACUACCCCAAGAAUGCUUGUAAAGUAUCCCAACCAGUCUCCAAGCUCCCUUCAAGGAACGACUGUGGGUUGAAAGGACCCAACUCAACCGGCUCUCUACUCAAAAAUAAACGGACAGAUCAGCACUCAGCUCCACCAUGCAUCGAGCCUCCAGUUCCCCCACACAAUGAUAUCAGGUCCCCUUCCCCUCCACCCCCACCAGGUCGGACCACCUCCCUACUGUUUCGACCUGGUUAUGACUCAUUACCUCAGGUGCACACGCCUGUUGUUCAGCCCCAGACUUCUAGCACUGUCAAGGCUAAUGCAAGUAGCACCAAAGCUCAGUCAAGUCAUUCAUCUGUUUUACAAACGCAACCUCAGAUACACAACAAAAAGGAAGACACACAUCAAAUGUCUCCCAAAAUUGCAGUUGAGGUUAAAAAGUCACCAAAGCGGGUGUCUGGAAAAGUGUAUCAUCCCUUACCAACUUCUACCCCUAUUCAAGAAUCCAAGGAAAGAGUUUCUGCCCUAUCUCAAAUGAGCAGGACUAUGGCACAAGCCCCCCUUCAGGAAAACAGUUUGCCAUUUUUGUCCCAGCAAAGUAAUGGUGAGCCACAAAGUACAAAACACUUACCUCAGGCUACAGCAUCUCCUCUAUGCCAUGGCAUAGUUAAUAACUUCCAACAUUCUGGUACGAGAGCAACAAUGUCAUCACUUCCUGUUGGAUUCAAAACCAGUGAGACAAGCCCAAAUUUAGGUUGCAACCUUGCAGUUAACAUUGCUACAAAUGGUAUGCAGACUUUAGACACCUUUAACCAGGACACCUACACACGCCCAAUGAUGCACUGUGUAAAUGCAGCUGUAGCCAAGGCCAAAGCCAGGAGAAAGCUUGAGACCCGCUGUAGCUCACUAGAGGAGCCUGCACUCCCACCUCCAGUCACAGAUAAUGGUGUAACUUUGGACUGGACAUUUGAUGAAGAGGGCUGGCUAUUCAAACGCUCAGUCUCAGUCUCUACCAGGCCCCCUCUACACCCGAUUAUGGGAAUGAACGGAGCAAAGGCACGCAGUCAAAGUUUCGGAGCACGCUACAUGGACAGACCAAAUAUCAACAGGUCUGGAAAAGUCCGUAAUCAAAUCAAAACAAAUUCAGGAAGUUCUUUGAAUUCUCUUGGUGACGUCUUUCGGGGUAGCAUGAGUGGCUCCAAUAGCUACCAUUGUCCAUUGAACAGGUCCCACAUCAACAACUUCAUGAUUGAGGAAGGUUUGCCAAUACCUUCCCAUCUGGAGGGUACAAAUGAUCGAUUUGGUCUUAAUCAUGAGAGGGUAAACUCAUCACAUCUCCAAAGUGAGAAACAGCAGUUGAGUUCUUUUUGUGAAUCCAUUCAUGUGGAACCGGAGAGAAUGUCUAACAUCUCCACCAUUGAGGAAAAAGUAAUGAUGGGAAUCGAGGAGAAUUUGCAGAAAUCUCAGGAGCAGGAGAAGAUAACUGAAACCAAGCAGAAAUCAGGGUCAUCUCUGGCAAACUGGUUUGGAUUCCGCAAGAGCAAACUUCCUGCUCUAAGUGGUAAAAAAGAAGAAAAGAAGGAACCAAAGCUUGGAUCUAUCUUGGGUGGGAAAAAUGCGAAAUCUGACAAAAAAAAGGAGAGGAGGAAAAGUGAAGGCCAUCGAAUGGAUGGCUCUGUGGGCAAAAGAGACUCCCAGGAUGCAUUGCUUCUAUGCCUCUCGAUGGCCUCCCAGGGAGCCCCAAUUGACAGCAACAUGCAAGGAGAAACCAACAUUUGUGAGGAUACAAAGACUAACACACACAGGAUGUAUCUCAGAACUGAUAAAGACAACAGUGUUACUCUGAAGAGCCCCGGUCAAGAUCACAUGCUCGGCUCCGGCAGCAAGAUGCGAACAUUGGACAGCGGCGUCGGAAUGUUUCCCCUUCUUGAUUCCUCUCCCUUCUCCUCUAUCCUCCACUUCCAUCCCAAGUCCCAGAUGGCCGAGGGUCAGUCCCUCGGCCUUCCUAGUUCUUCUAGUGAGGAUGUGUCGCCAUCCCCAUUACCCCUCUGGAGAGUGCCAUCUGACCAUCUCUGCAGCCAACCAGGGCUGGCCAAGUCCUCGUUAUUCGAUACCACAGUAACCCUCGUCCAAUCAGUGCCUUAUCCCUCUGUGGCCUUCCUUCAGCCUGUCCAAUCCCUGUCUGAGUCAUUUGUGACAUUUGCCAGUGUGUCUCAUACCCAGAGCAGGCUUCCCAGACUAGCUUCAGGUAAAGCCAAAAGAGCGCUUGUCCAGAAAUAAUUUGUUUUGAUUGUGAAAAUACUGUCCUGCCCAAUCAAUAACCAACAUUGUCAGCUGUUUCAAAAUCAAAAGAAAAACAUAGUUGGGUUCUCAAAACACUUUUGAGAGUUAAGCAGAAAACGCAUGGCACCACUGAUGGCCUGCUGUUUGUUUGCUUGCUGAUGGCGUGUUUAACAGACCAACAGAUAUUUUUCCAUGCAGAAUCAGUUUGCAAAUGAACCUCGUCAUGGCAGGUUGAAGUGAUUUCUUGCUUUAGAAUGUUAUAGACUUUAAUGGCCAUGCAUCUUGAACAAAACAGUGCUCUCUGUCUCUUCUUUUCUCAGCAGUUAGAAUGACAUGAUGGUGAAAAAGUGACAUGGAUGACUCAUUACAAACCAUCAGCAACUACAUUACGGAGCGAAAUUAGCAGCGUCGAAGGGGAGAGUUUGAGGGAGAGUGCAAUCAGCUGGCAUGUAACCUAUGGGGAGAUGCAUGAUUACAAUGGCUCAUGGGUCAGA